CGGUGGCCAUGGCUGAGGCGUCGCCGCAGCCCGGACGGUACUUCUGCCACUGCUGUUCGGUGGAGAUCGUGCCGCGCCUGCCGGAUUACAUCUGCCCACGGUGCGAGUCUGGCUUCAUCGAGGAGCUUCCAGAAGAGACCAGGCUCUUUCUUCCUGUGCAGGAACACAGAAAACGGCUCAGCCCCCUCCACAGCCCCUACUGACCAGAACCGGCAGCCAUUUGAGGUGCGUCAGGGUCCCUGGGCCCAGGCCCGCCUGCCAUGGCCGUGGACUAGAGGUGCUGCCCAUGGCGGCCGGCAGCACCUGGCGGGCCCCAGGCUGCGGGCGGCUCGGACUUGGCCAUGGCCGCUCCUGUUUGGAGGUGUGCACGUGGGUCCCAUGUCCCCAGCAGGCAGGCGCCUUCAGUCCGUCUUUAACCUCACCCUCCAAAUGUUCAACGGCAGAAGGGUUUUUAUGAUUUUAAAUUAUUACUGCUUUGAAAUAAAUGGACGUUUGAGCC
rnacentral:lncRNA from 1 species